GACUGGAAUAAUCUUGGAUUCAAUGCAAUGCCAACUGAUUACUAUUACAUGUACACAAUGAAAUGUCCCAAAGAAGGGAAUUUCGAACAGGGACAACUAAAUCCCUAUGGAAACAUUGAGUUAAGCCCUCAUGCAUUCAGGCGUCCUGAAUAUAUGGUCACGUAAGGUUGCGGUUGAUUUUUUUUCCCCUUCAUUCUUGAAAUGCCCCGAUAAAAGAUCCAAACUUCUAAAAUAUAUUUGAGCAACCUUAAAUAUAUGACUGGAUGGAAAAUCGGAAAUCAAAUAACUGCAGGGAUUGUCAGAAGGUACAAAAGCAUAUAGGAAAGAAGAUGGCCGGCUUCUUGUAUCACGUCCGGACCAGAAUGCGAUGAGCAUGAAGAUUGGUGCUGAUAGGAUGUGCAUGCCCUGUCCCUUCAUUGAUCAACUUGUCCACGCCCUGAAUCCAACUGUCCUAGCUAAUAAGCGUUGGGUAAUAAUAUAGUAUGAACAAAAUGCUGCUGUGCAUUGCAUUUGAAAAAUCUGAAAAUUUAAAUAAUUCUCUUAAUGACACUUUUUUGGCAUGAAUAAUUAUAAACUGUUACUCCGCCUGAACAAGGGUCUCUCUACAUUAGGCCUCUUGAGUGGUCCAAUACUAUUAUAUAUGCUUCCCCUUUCUGCAACUAUCAAGGUAGGGGACUUUCUCAAAUGUGGUUUAUUUGAUCUAGUCCAUUUAAAAUAUUUAAAUUGAAAGGUGGGUUUUUAUGCCUUCUGGAUGUGUAAUGUAAACAGGAGGGUUUUGCGCCUUUGAACUUGUACGUUGAGUUUGAGUUUGAUCGUGCCUCUCAUGGUGGAACUGGCGUUGUCAAAAUGAUUUCGAAUUUUGCACCUGUAGGUGAACCAUUCGGAUAGUAUUAGAAAAAAUGGAUAUGGAGCGUGAGAUUAAGUGUCGGCCUCAUAUAUUGAAAUUUACUUGCCUUUGGUGUGAGGGCGAUGAAAACCCAAAACAGAGCAAAAAACAGAGGAUUUUCAGAUGUCCUGUACCUGGACUUGGUGAAUAAGAGAUACACAAAGAAGGUUCUCUGCUUGUAAUAUUUUCACUGUAAAGGGCACAAAAUGGGACCAUACUUUAAGGUGUCUCGAAGAAGCAUCGUUGAGAUUGCUCAUCGCCAUGGGUACCGGGUUCAGGAACGUCAUAUAACGUUGGAUGAAUUGAUGGAUACGUAUGAAGUAUUUUGCACAGGACCUGCUGUAGGUGUUGAUGUGUAGGCAGCAUUACAUACCACAACGAAAAGAGUUGAAUUCAGAACAUGUGCGCAGGCUGUGUGCACAGAACUCUACACAACCCUGCUUGGGAUGCAAAGAGGCAUCAUUGAGGAUAAGAAUGCCUGGAUUAUUGAGAUUGAUUGAGCUCGUUAAAACUUACUUAAUCAACCAAAACUCUUUACUGAGAGAUUAUCUUUCCUAUCUUCACUGCCACAAAGACUGAACUGUCCUCGUGCCCCACAUAAAAAAAAUUUGUUACAAAAUUACUUGGUUAUACACACUUAAAACAUAAAUAUACACCAUUCCAUCAGUUUGUCAAAUGAAGACAAACUUUGGUACAAAACUUUUCAUAUUCAAUU